UCAUAAUAUAUAUAAGACGACUUUAUAAAUUAUUUUCUUUAGCUAUAAACUUUCAAUUUUAAAAUUUAAUAAAUAUGUACUUGUUAUUGCUUGAAAUACUAUCUAUUCGUUGCGAAGCGCAGAUCCUGUGCUAGUAUUUUAGAUAUACAAAUAGUAUUGCUUCUUAUUGAAUGACCUUAUAAAUAAUUGUGGUAAAAUGCUUUGUGUUCUUCCAUCUGUAAUGAACUAUUUCAAUGUUGUUAAACAAGCAAAAGUUUAUCUAAAAUGUCAAAAAUUAUCAAUUUAAUAUUUUUUAUCACAAAAUAAAUACUUUAUAAAAAUCAUAAAAUUUAAUUUUUUA
rnacentral:lncRNA from 1 species